CCCUUAGAUGUCCUGGGCCGCACGCGCGUUACACUGAUGCAUUCAACGAGCUUAUAACCUUGGCCGAGAGGCCUGGGCAAUCUUGUUAACGUGCAUCGUGAUAGGGAUAGAUUAUUGAAAUUAUUAAUCUUGAACGAGGAAUGCCUAGUAGGCGCAAGUCAUCAGCUUGCGUCGAUUACGUCCCUGCCCUUUGUACACACCGCCCGUCGCUCCUACCGAUUGGGUGUGCUGGUGAAAUGUUCGGAUCGGCCGUUUGUCGCGGUUUCCGCGGCUCGUGGCUGAGAAGUUCAUUAAACCCUCCCACCUAGAGGAAGGAGAAGUCGUAACA
rnacentral:rRNA from 1 species